AUGCAAAACGAAAGACAAAACCCAACCACGAAGGGAAUAUCAUGUCACAUAGCCGGAAAAGGUAAGAGUUGGAGUGACAAUUAUGGAAAGUUACAUCCGGGGUGUUACAUUCUUCCACCCUUCAGGAAAACAAGGUACCAUCUCAACGUGUUCUCUGGUAGGAACUAUCCUAAGACUGCACAGGAGCUGUUUAAUCUCAAACACUUCAGCCUUAGAGUAACUGUUGAGAGGGCAUUUGGAGCUCCCAAGAAUAGGUUUAAGAUCCUGGAUCAGAAGCCAUUCCACCCAUACUCCACUCAGGUUAAGCUAGUUAUUUCUUGUUGCAUUCUGCAUAACUGGAUUCUCCAGUGGGGCUUUGAUGAGCACGUGCCUGAGGAGGAAGAUGUCGAGCCUGACGAUGUUGUUAGCUCCGGCCAUGGUGUGGAGGCAUUUGACAAUGACGCUUGGAAGAACAAAAGGUUGGAGCGGGCAAAGGCGAUGUGA
rnacentral:rRNA from 1 species